GAAAGGCUUUCAAAUAUGUAAUAUGGAAGCAGACUAGGGAUUUAGCUCAGCGGCAUAAGCACCUGCCUUACAAUUGCAAGGUUGUGAGUUCGAUCCCCGGUACCGAUAAAAAAAAAGAAAUGUAAUACAGGAAGGAAAAUGAUGUAAAAUGUUCGAUAGCACAAGAGCUGACAGGAGCCAGAGAGACACGAGAGAGAGGGCCUUCUGACCAUCCUAGGUCAGGCCCCAGGCAGCCCUGGGUGACAGUGCUUCUAGGUAUGGACCCAAGGUACAGGCCAGCAGCCUGGCCCUAGUGGCUCUCAAAGGCAUUGUACUGGUUAAACUCCCACAUGCUGUCCUCCUGCAGGCUGGGUGCAGGUGCAGCCCUGGGCGGGGUGUGAACUUGGGUGGGGUGGCCCUCAUGAACCUGUCACAGCCUGCUGCCACCAGCAGCCCUGAGGAGUGAGUGGUGAUUAUUAAGCACACAGCAGCAGGCAAGGCCAAGGCCAAGGCCAGGCCAAGGUGGAGAGUCCAAUGGUGAAGGUCCUGCAAGCUGCCCUUAGGCCCAGGAGGCCACCGUGUACACAGAUAGCAGUAGAUAGUGCAGGCCUAGGCCACCUUGGGGCCUCUGCCCUGCAUGCCCUCUGGGACCACAGCUCAGCAGGAGGGUGGGAUGGGGGCCACCAUGCCACAGGGACUGUGCCCCAGAGGAGCCCCAGAGGCUUUGGUGGCUUUAGUGGGCUCUGUCCCGAGCUCUUCAGACCCUCAUUGGAAACCCCCCAUCCUGGGUCCGACCACCAGCAUCGCUCACAUUAGCAGGGGGAGGAAGACUCCACCAUCUCAGUAGACUUGGAAAAGGCAUUUGAGAAAUUCUAUACAAGGUCGGGUCUCCUGUGUUGCCCAUGGGGCCCAAAACUCCUGGCCUCCACUGUUCCUUGUUUUGGCUUCCCACGUAGCUGGGGCUACAGGCCGGCACAAAGCCAUUUAAAAAAUUCAUAGAAGCUUUUAGUGAACUAGGAAUAGAAAAGAACUUUCUGAAUGGGAUGCAGAGCAUUGCAGACAUCGUCCUGAUUGUUAAAUUAUUCAGGGCUCCCCCAGAUGCGAGGCAUGGAUAUCCUCUGCCACCGCUUUUAUUCAGCAUUGGACUGGAAAUCCCAGACUGAGAGGCGUGGCAAGAGAACAAAGGGCUCAGCCUCUUGUGAUCUGGAACUGGGACCCUGGGCCUCGUGGGGGCCCCAAAGACACUGCUGAGAGCCCAAAGAGAAACUCGAAGAGGAACAGUUUUCCAGCCUCGGGGAUAUGACGCGGAGGACCAGCAAAGCAAACCCAGCGCUGCUUCGCAGUUAUUCCCACUUCCUCAUUAUAAGGAGCAACAGACUUGCAUGGGAAGCAGAGGUUCAAGUUCAUGGAUGCUGGAGGGAGCCUGGGCCCCGAGUCUGAGCCUUUGGGUGAAGGCAGCUCAGGGCACCGACUUCUAGCUCAGGGCAUCCCAGUGACCCCAGAUGACACAAAGGGACCCCUUCGGUGAUGUGAGAUGAACCCUACAGCCGGGAAACAACUGAAGGAAAGAAAUCCAAAUUUAAAACUGUAUUCUGCUGAGGGAGCUGAGAUAAAGAACCACCAGAAGCACCUGAAAGUGUUGCUUUGUCCCCAGAUGCAUCCCGUUCACCUUUGGGGCUUUAUGUUUCCAGAAAUACUCUGAAGUUGCUAUUGGACAAGUGGAACGCACCAGAGUAUUUCAGCGUUCUGACCAAAUCCCAAGUAGAAAUUGUUUCCGGGAAUAUGGGUCUCCUUUCCAUUCCACCUUCCUCAUGCCUGCCUGUGCCCAGAGAGGCACAGGUGUGUUUCAAGACUCGCGGAGCCUCAAGCUGGAAUCACCUGGGCAUCUAGGUCCACGGGAUGGAGGGGCCCAGCCAGGGCACUGUGUCAACCAUGAGACCAGGACGAGGCCAGAGCCUGCGACACCCUCAGGGACACAGGACUGUUGAGCCGUUCCUGACGGAGAUGAGGAGUAAGUGAGGAACUACUGCUGACUUCUUAGUGGACUGGUCCCUCUUUUCUGAUGCCUUCAUUUUCCUACCACCACCUCCCUCCCUUCUUUCCUCACUGCUGCUUCAAAAGUUUAAUGUAUAGCUCACAAGAAAAAAGAACACAUUCAAUCCUUGUAUUAAAAGCGUGAAUAGAAACGAGAUUGACGCUUUGCUCAGGAAACUCUUUGCCCAGAGUGGUAUGACCCCAUCUCUGUUCUGUAGGAAGCGUGGGGCAUCAGGAAACAGUUGUGCAGUGCGCGCUUCACUCCGGAGCACCGGGCUGCUCUGGCAUUGUUCUGUCUGCCCUCGUGGUGUUACUGCAUCUGCCAAGUGUGAUUUCUAACCAUGCCAUUAAUCACUGAGAGACAGCAGGACCAUUGGAUAGCUAACCGCAGCCUCCCCACUACGUCACCCAGGUGCACAGAGAUCAACCUCAACUGAGUCCCAGCUGAAGCCUGCCACGGACGGCAGGUGGAGUCUAAGCUUAAGCAGAGUUCUCAACAAGGAGCUUGAGUGUUCUGGAAAUAAAUCCAAAGACCACAUCCACUCUGAGUCCAGACACUCAACUGGAGAAGCAGAGGUGGAUCUGGUGCCUCUGGCUGCCAGGAUGUCAGCGGCUUGGCUCACCAGCAGCUCCUGGCAGACAUAGGAACAAGGAUGGGGACAGAGACAGAGACAGAGGUGGGGGCCCAAUCCUCACAUCCCUGCUGUUAUUUAUUUUUUUUGGGUACCGGGGAUUGAACUCACGACCUUGUGCUUGCCAAACAGGCGCUUAUGCCACUAAGCUAAAUCCCCUGCCCUCUGCUGUUCAUUUUAACUGAUAAAAAGGCUGCAUGUGAUAGAAGUAUUCACAUUUUCAAUCAAAUCACAGAAUUUUUAAUGGUUAAACAGGGUACAGACUUAAGUAUUAAAAAUAAGAUUUGUAGUAACUAUCUUUAAGAACUCUAGUAUUUAUCUUUACCUCUGGGGAAUGGACAAGUACAGAUGUUGGAGUAACCUAACAUUUACUAAAAGACACCCUCUUUAUUCUAAAGCAGACGGGUAGGAGUCUUUUCUCUACACCCCCUGUACUGUAGAGUCCUCGCCAUCCUGGGGCAGGACGGAGCAGGGACGCGUCGGUGACAUCCGGCUGGGAUCGUUACAACAGGAACUUGAGUUCUAAACAGUGGAAGCCAAAUCUGAACAUCAGAAAAAUGAGGAGGAAAAACAUGACAUGCUGUGCCAGAGAUGGCGUGUCGUCCACACUGGGUAUCCCGUCUUCAAUCCUCAGGUUCAUAUCUGGAGAGAGAUGGGGGAGUCAUGACCCAUUGUGGUUAGGGUUGUUACUGUCUUUACCGAGUGAAUGAAUGAUGGUAAUCCCUCACUGUCCCCUCCCCAUCCCUGCCCCUGCAGAGCUCAGACACACAUGGAACCCUUGUGGUGACCAGAGGAGACUCACACAAUAGCCAGCUGAGCUUACUGGGACUCUGUCAUCAUGCAUGCAGUGCGAUCACCUCCACCCUCGGACCCCCACGGACAGUGGGCACAACCCAGUGAGUACAGCAGUAACGACACCCCUACGCUGAGGACAAACCUGACCAUCCAUUCCAGGAACCUUCGCAUCCUGGCUGUCUUCCCCCAAACUCUGACCAUGCAAAGAUGCUAAAUGUGUCUCCAGCUGACUGCACCUGGUCUGUGAUGGUCCCAGUGUCUGGGAGGGAUGUGGUAAAGGCCCAGAGCAGCCCAGCCCACUGCUGCUGCUGUCCCUCCUGCGAGGCUCCGCUCUGGUGGAGCGCCCAAGCUGCCCUGGGGGGCACUGGGGCCGGGCCAGGCUUCGGGGUCCUCAGAUGGAGGCCCUGGGUGAAAUGACCGGCAGCCACUCGAGGCCACAGCCCGCCCCUCAGGAGGACACACACCGCCCUGUGGGGACAGAAAGCCCGGGCCAGACGCGGGCGUACUUGGCCAGCUUUCUCCGCAGCUCUUUGAUCUGGUCAUUCUUCUUGGUGAGCAUCUCUUUCAGGUUCCGGUAUGCUGCGGUCUGCUGGAACUUCUUCUCCAGCUCCUGCUUAAGACAAAAACGUCAGCCUGCUCCCCAGCCACAGCUAAGGACAUCACAACGGGUGUGACACAGACGCAUACCCUUGUGAAAUUUACCGACAGUUUGCUUAUAGUAUUUUCUAACUUCCUCACAAGACAUUGGCAAAAUUAGGGCUACCCAAAUUUAAAAGUGUUAUUUCCAGCGAGAAGCCAGCAGAUCAGGACAUUUCCCUAAGCAUAAUACUAAUAAAUAACUCAAGUGGAGUAAGCCAUAGACCUGGGACAUCUAUUUGUUUAAACUGACUUUCAAUUAAAGGAGCAGAGCCUUUUUCCAGGUUCCCAAGUGGUGUCAGGAGGAGCGUUUUAAACUGCAGCACCCCCUUUAAUGUUGAAGCCCUGAAGGGAACAGUGGAGUUCUCCUUGUACUUCACAUACACAGUUAUCUUAAGUGUCACCCAGCCCUCUGCCCAGGUGCAGGGGAUGGCAGCCUCCAGGGCAACAGGUCUUGAGACACGGCCGGUCAGCGCCCUGAGAACCUGAUUCUGACGCCAGCGCCAGCCCGCGGGUACCUGGCCGCCUGUACCCCUCCCUGUGCCCAGCAGACAGGCUGAGCACGCAGCCCUGACCUUCUCUGCCAGGCUCAGCUGGCCCUGCACCCUGAGGAGGUCGUGCUUGGCCGUCACAAGAGUCUCCUCCAGGGACUUCUGGUUCUCUACCCUGUCGCUCAGCGUCUUCUCAAACUCGCUCUUCAAAGCUGCCACCUUGCUCUCCAAGUCGCUCAGAUCUUGUGCUUUUAUUAAAUCCUGCAGGAAGGAUACAAACAUGGGAACAUGACCACCUGUUGGCCUGCUAGGGAGUAACUGUCUUAGGACAGCCACUUGAUGUCAAGGGAGAUAAAGCCACAAGGCCAGAAUAUGUGGCCUCCCUGCCCACCCUGUGCUGGUCACUGAGGCCCUGACCUAGAAGGCAGGACAGAGGAACUAUUGGUGUUCUGGCCCAAGGGUUAUAGGAGACAGGUGAGAUCUUUUUGUUUUGUUUAGUGUUGGUUUGAGGCAGGGUCUCACUAUGUAGCCUAAAUUGGCCUUGAACUCCCAGAGAUCUUCCUGCCUCAGCCUCCUAGGUGCCACUGGGAUUACAGGCAUGUGCCACCAUGUCUGGCUGAAGAGGUGAGACUUUGAUGAUAGCGUUAAGUAUGCUGGAGCUGGCAUGGCAAACAGGUUCCAUCUGGGAAAGCCAAAUCAAGAAAACUCGUAGUGAAGCAUUCACAAGUCUUCAAAAAUGACACAGGUGGAAAAAAAUUAUAAAAGGAAUAACAUUUAUAGAUACAUGCUUUACUUGUUAUUUACAAGUGAGUAUUAUGAAGGCAUAAGGUUGCUUGUACAGGCUUUGAGAUUUACAAGAUUUAAGUUUUUCACGUUAAAAGAGCUGUGCAUAUUUUGGGAUAAUUUACCUGCCUGGAUCUCCUUUCCAGAUCUUGGUUUUGACUGAUAAAACUCAUGGUAGAAAAAAAAAGAUCUGGAGAGUUGGGCUUGCUGGCUCAUGCCUGUAAUCCCAGCACUCAGGAGGCUGAGGCAGGAGGAUCCUUGCAAGUUCGAGACCAGCCUGGGCUACAAAGUGAGCUCAAGGCCAGCCUGAGUUACAUAGAGAGACCCCGUCUCAAAAAAAGAAAAAAAAAAAAAAAAAAAAGAUAAGAAAGUGGCCUGUAGCUGCUUAAUAUGUAGAUGGAACAAUCUUUUCCACAAAAAUUCCUGCUGAUACUUUUAGUGGUUUACUUUUUUAUUUUUUUAAUGCGAGUUUCUGACUAUGUAGCUCAGGCUUAUGCCACCACACCCAGACUUGCUGAGUUUUGAAAUUUAUUCUUUAAAAAGGUGUAUCCCACUGUAACUAAUAAAGCAUAUGUCUGCUUUGCAUUUGUGCCCCACAUCUUGAAGUAACUAAUAAAUGCUUAGACACACAAUGAGUGGUUACAGUCAACCUCAAGAAUUACUGGCGUAUCAAAUAUACUUAUUUUUCAAAUAUGAAAUAUAUUCAUCUAGAACAAAAUUCAAAAUCAAGGGAUUUAAUGAAAACGUUUUCAGAAGAAUUUGGUGCUUUACACAUUUUAGGGACACGGUAUGAAGCCUUUUUUAAAAAAUGUUUUAGAUAUGUACCUGAGCACAAAUGAUUCUCAGAGGGCCCUAAGAACAAUCACCCUUGGAUGGCAGCUUAUUUAUGCAGUACACUUUGACUCCGAGCCAGUGAAGUGAUAUGGGGGGGGGGGUAGGCAGUUAAUGAUCUCUAGGACGCCCUGUGCCAUUAUUUCCUGGACUCAAAGCUGAGCAGCACAGGCUCCUGCCCUGGAGGACAGGACUGAGGGCAGAGGUUGGAGGAAACCCUGGGCCUGGCAGGGAGCCGCAGGGAGCUGCGUUCUGGGCACUGAGGGCCCAGUCCAAUCAGACUGAUCAGAUCCCGAUUCCGCUUACAGCAAUCAAACCAACCGUUGCCUGGAGACCCAUUUGGAACUUCCUAGAUAAUCAGCAAAAAGGGCCUUGUUAAUUAUCAACAAAGCACCUGGAACUCCAGAUCAUUAAACUGUGUCAUCCCUUCACGUUCACAGUUCAGUCAGAAUCAGCCUAGCAGCACCCAACGGCCACCUGUGGGCCAAGGCCGUGUGCACAUGCAGCAUCUGGAUAAUUAAAACAACUGUGUCAUCAUUUCAUGUUCCCUGUUCACUAUCACAAUCAGCUGGGACGCACCAAAAGGCAACCUUCAGGCCAAGGCCGCUGCACAGGCGGGGACCUGGAUCUCAGGAUGAGCCCUUCGGCCCUCCUUUCCAGCUCGAACGCCAGGGCGGGGCCACCUUCUGACAGCAGCACCUUGCCUGCCCCGCAUGUGUUCUUUCCAACUGAAAUUUUCUGUCACACAGUCAAUCAAAUGGCAGGGAUCAUGGCAUUAAUAUUGCCAGGAACCCUGACAGGUGACAUCAUGUGUAACUAGAGCAGCGUGGGGCUGCAGCUCUUCCUGGGUGGAAGGAAACACACUGUUCACAGCUGUCCGGCAGGAAGCUGUUUUCUAGGUGGUGUCUGUGGCUCAUUGUAGCCUAGGCUGGCCUCGAACUCAAGGCAAUCCUCCUGCUUCAGCCUCCCCAAGCAUGGGAUUACAGGUGUGUGUCACCAUACCUAGCUUCAGCUCUUCAACUUUUACGUUUGUCUGUGAUACCUGAUUAUUACACUGGUUUUGGGAAACUGGUACUUAGAUAUCAUUUCCUGGUCAUUUAGAUCCUUUUCCUAUUCCCUUCCCUCCUCCCUUCCUCUGUCUCCCUUUCCCUUUACUUUACUUUCAUGUCUAUACCAAAAAAUCUUGGAGUGUAAUGGAAGCAGGAAUUGAGCUCCUCUGAAACGCUCAGCUUUCUAGUUCACAAAUCUACAGUUCUUGGCAUCUUUCAAUUGAAAAGCCACAGACAUUUUCCUCUUUUUAGUUGCCUAAGGAAUAUGCUUCAAAGCAGUGCACGGGGAGACAGGGCAAUGCCCGGGAUCUUCAACGGGAGAUGCAGAGGGAGGGAGCUCGGGGCGGGGAGGGGGCGUGUGUGUGCCAGGCACAGGAUGGCCGCUCCGCCCUGGUGUGUGUUUACAGGAUCCACAGAGCAAAGUUUACCGAAACCUACGGAGGCAGGCUGUGGGGUCGCUGAGCAGACAGGGACAGUGCGGGUAGUGGAGAAGUUGCAGGGGACCCGGCCGCGCCAGCUUCCUGGGUCAGCCCCAAGAGGGGCCCGCAGAGGAGCCAUGUGGCUGACUUCGAUGUCAGCCAGCGCCCUGGGGACAGGGCAGUGAGAUGACCCCAUCCGUAGUUCCUCCCAUCUUGUCACUCAUCAGGGUGAAUUUGGGCAAUGUUCUGCAGACUACAACCCGGGGGAAUUCUGGAGAACUAAGGGCAGGUCCCCUCUCCAUGACUGGGUGUCACACUGUGCUGGGAAGGUCCUGCAUACUCUAGUCAGAUCCCAGAUAUCUACUGGCCCUGGGUGCUGGUGCCCCCCAGCCUCUUUGCACAGCAAUGUCCCGGCACAGAGGUGCUGGUCCCAGGGACUCUGCCAGGGUGUGGGGAACACUGGACUGCGAUGACCACUGAGUUCUAUGCCCAUGACUUACAGCAAAAAUGGGCUCACCUCUUGCUUCCCCUUGUCCAGCUGCAGGUCCCACAGUGCCUGCUCCAGCUUCGCCUUCUCGUCCAGCGCAGUCGUGGCCUGGAGCGUGGGGCAGGCGGAAGGCACUCAGGGCCCGCCAGUGGGUGGCCCCGUCAGUCCCCUCCAGGGCUUCCUGAUUACCUGCGCCUCGAUCACCUUCAGUCUCGACUUCAGUUUCUCGUUCUCUUCUUGAAGUCUUAGUAUUUCCUUUGUGAGUAAAUUCAAGUUUUUUACUAUUUGAAUGAGCAUGUUUUCAAAGUAUGACUUAUUUCACUUAAAUUACAUCAUAGUUCACACACCCGCAUGCCCAGGUGGUGGGCCGUGGCCUGCUUUUGCCCCAUCCAUCAGGCUGAACACCUGUGUGGAUUUUGGCCCCAGGCUGCUGGCUGCUGCUCCUGCUCCUCCGAUCCCCCACCACCCUGGCUCGUGGGCCUGCCCUCCUUCAGCCCGGCCAGCUGCUCUCCAGAACACCUGCUCCUGCUGUGCUAUGAGGCCAGACAGCCUGGCCUUUUCUGAGCUCUGUCCAGAUCGUCACCAUUGGCUCAAUCUCCUUCCUCCCUGGGCUCCAUGCGUAGAGGGCAGGACUGGAAAAUUCCGUCAGUUUUUAAAUGUUUAAAACGGGAAAAGACACUUCCAUGCACUCCCCAACUCCCACUCGUUUCCCCUUGUCCUCGAUACUUUCUGUAGCCACUCCAGAGUCCUCUUUCCUGAGAGUCUUUAGCUGCACUGGUCUGGCUACCUCAGUGUCCUGAAUCACUUCAAAACUCUGAGCUUUCAUGGUCACAUUCACUUUGGGAAGAGCCAGGGGUCACAUGGCCUCAUCUGCUAAAGAAGGCGGGUGAGGACUCAACAUGGUGUUUUUCCCAGCUGUCUUCCCAUUGGUGCUUGGUCGCAGCAGUCACUGUAAUCUGAUCACAGUGUAUAGACACUGGGAAGGAGGACACUGCCAGAGCUGCUGCGGGGAGUGACAAGGAUGACAGGGAGUGGCAAGGAUGACGGUUGUCCCGUACCCACUGGCCUUGCUGAUCUCUGUCCAUCUCCGCACUGCCCAUUCUGCUCCCUGCCAACAGCCGCCUGCCUAGGCCUGAGGCUCCUGUCCUCAUCUGACCGAAGUCUCCAGGCACCGGCCUCGCUCAGCCCACUGCCGGCUCCUCUGCUACCUGGGCUGGGUUUUGUCUCUGCUUCCAAGCAUCAGCUCCAUCUCCCCAAUGAGCCCUUUGAUCCCUGAGAGCCCUGGGCCAGGUGCUACACUCACUGCCUGUGAUCUCCAACAAGACCUUAUGAGCACAGGAGUCAUAAAGGUAUCUGCACGCUGACAACUUUCACAGACUUAAAAAAAGAACUCUACUAUGGCUCACAGACUUUUAACUUCCCAUGACAAAUAUUGCCCCGAUGUACCACUGUUGCUCCCCCGUUGAUGUAUUUUGAAAUCUUGUUUUAGUUUUCGUGUUUCUCCUUAAAAUAAAAUGGAUUUGAACAAACAAACAUAUAAA